rnacentral:rRNA from 1 species
GACGAACGCUGGCGGCGUGCUUCACACAUGCCAGUCGAGCGGAUCGGCGAACGGGUGAGUAACGCGAGAGUAACUGCCCCCCUCUCUGGGAUAACAGUUGGAAAAGGCUGCUAAUACCGGAUCGUGGGCGAUGACUCGCGUCCUAUCAGCUUGUUUGCGGGGUAGUGUCCUACCAAGGCGACGACGGGUAUCCGGCCUGAGGGGGCGAACGGCCACAUGGGGCUGAGUUAGGGCGCAACCGCCAACGGGAGGCAGCAGUGGGGAAUAUUGCACAGUGGGGGAAAGCCUGGUGCAGCGACGCCGCGGGCGUAAUGACGGCCUUCGGGUUGUAAACCGCUUUCAGCCAUGACGCGGUAGUGGCAGAAGAAGCACCGGCUAACUACGUGCCAGCAGCCGCGGUAAUUC